CAGGAAUAUUUCAUAUACAUUCCCCAAGGGGGCCUGCUUGGUUAGGUGAUAGUCUGUGUUCACACAGCUUAUUCUCAAGGAGUGCACAAAUAAUUAAAUGAAGAUCAGGGGCAGAUUACAGGCUUGUGAACAUCAGCUUGGGCCCCACACUCUCCCACUGCCAGCCCCGGACUGUCUAGCACAGCUUUACUACAGCAUUCUGCACUUUGUAGCAGACUCCCAGCAGGUCCAGAUCAGAGGCACACACAACCAGAGCUCCCCAUCCAACCCCAAACAUAUUUGCUUUCACCAUUUCCAGGCAUUCCCAAUAAAAUUGGUGUUAAGGGAAGAGAGAGAAGGAAUAAUUGACAAAAUAAAGGAACCAUUCUCUGUACCCCAGAAAUACCGCAUAUUUGGUAACAGUGUGGGGCAUGAAUACGUCCCCAUCAGGUUCAAACC
rnacentral:lncRNA from 1 species